GACGAACGCUGGCGGCGCGCCUAACACAUGCAAGUCGAACGAGCGAGAGAGAGCUUGCUUUCUCGAGCGAGUGGCGAACGGGUGAGUAACGCGUGAGGAACCUGCCUCAAAGAGGGGGACAACAGUUGGAAACGACUGCUAAUACCGCAUAAGCCCACGACCCGGCAUCGGGUCGAGGGAAAAGGAGCAAUCCGCUUUGAGAUGGCCUCGCGUCCGAUUAGCUAGUUGGUGAGGUAACGGCCCACCAAGGCGACGAUCGGUAGCCGGACUGAGAGGUUGAACGGCCACAGUGGGACUGAGACACGGCCCAGACUCCGACGGGAGGCAGCAGUGGGGAAUAUUGCACAAUGGGGGAAACCCUGAUGCAGCGACGCCGCGUGGAGGAAGAAGGUCUUCGGAUUGUAAACUCCUGUUGUUGAGGAAGAUAAUGACGGUACUCAACAAGGAAGUGACGGCUAACUACGUG
rnacentral:rRNA from 1 species